rnacentral:rRNA from 1 species
UACGAAGGGGGCUAGCGUUGCUCGGAAUCACUGGGCGUAAAGCGCACGUAGGCGGCUUUUUAAGUCAGGGGUGAAAUCCUGGAGCUCAACUCCAGAACUGCCUUUGAUACUGAGAAGCUUGAGUCCGGGAGAGGUGAGUGGAACUGCGAGUGUAGAGGUGAAAUUCGUAGAUAUUGGGAGGAACACCAGUGGCGAAGGCGGCUCACUGGACCGGAACUGACGCUGAGGCGCGAAAGCGUGGGGAGCAAACAGG